AUUGAACGCUGGUGGCAGGCCUAACACAUGCAAGUCGAACGAGUGGCGGACGGGUGAGUAAUGUCUGGGAAACUGCCUGAUGGAGGGGGAUAACUACUGGAAACGGUAGCUAAUACCGCAUACCAUCGGAUGUGCCCAGAUGGGAUUAGCUAGUAGGUGGGGCAAAGGCUCACCUAGGCGACGAUCCCUAGCUGGUCUGAGUGGAUGACCAGCCUCACUGGAACUGAGGCACGGUCCAGACUCCUACGAGAGGCAGCAGUGGGGAAUAUUGCACAAUAGGCACAAGCCUGAUGCAGCCAUGCCGCGUGUAUGAAGAAGGCCUUCGGGUUGUAAAGUACUUUCAGCGGGGAGGCGUUACCCGCAGAAGAAGCACCGGCUAACUCCGUGCCGGCCGCCGCGGUAAUUC
rnacentral:rRNA from 1 species